GCGGGUUCCGACAGAGUCCUUUAUUUUUCGGUGGAGCUGCUCUGUUUUCUUAAGUCUCUACUUGAUUGGAUAAGAUGGAAUUAAGAAGGAGGACCUGACCAUUGGCCCCUGAUUACAUGUCUUUGACAUCAAAAGUUUUUCUGGGCUUCCCUGCUGGCGCAGUGGUUGAGAAUCCGCUUGCCAAUGCAGGGGACACGGGUUCGAUCCCUGGUCCAGGAAGAUCCCACAUGCCACGGAGCAACUAAGCCCAUGCGCCGCAACUACUGAGCCUGUGCUCUAGAGCCCGUGAGCCACAACUUCUGAGCCCGUGUGCCACAACUACUGAAGCCCACACGCCUAGAGCCCGUGCUUCACAGCAAGAGAAGCCACCGCAAUGAGUAGCCCGCGCACCACAACGAAGAGUAGCCCCCGUUCACCGCAACUAGAGAAAGCCCACACGCAGCAACAAAGACCCAAC